UUUAACAAAUAUUUUUGUUUUUCGUUAUCAACAAAUAUAAAUUUCUUUCAAACUACAUAGACGAUCAAUUCAGAUGAAACUUUACCAAAACGAACUUAAAUGUUUACUUUAAAGAAAGAGAGAGAGAGAGAGAUUUUGUAUAGAGAUGAAAACCGUAUUAUUGUGGCGCAAGCGGAGUGAGAGUGCCACGAUCUGAAAGAUUUCGGCCCCAAAACAGGACAUAUUCGACGAACCGAGAAAAUUACACGGCGGCUAAUUCCAUUCGGCCUGAUGUCCGCUGAGAGCAAUAAUCAACCGACCGGUCGGUCCGCCGAGGGAGCCGAACUAAUUAAAUGCUAGAUGACGAAGGGGAGAGGCGCGCGAGACAUUUCGAUUCGAAGCGAGUCGCGGAACGGCAAUGGAAGAAAUUAGCGCCGGGUAAAACCAUAAAAUGGGAGAGCGCAAGUUCUCCACCGCUUCCUCUAUCGUGACCCCGGAAUAGUCCCCCUUUUCCUUCACAAGAACCUCGACGCCACCGUCCCAAGUGCGU